GGCAUGGUGGCAGCUCUGUGGAGCAGGUUAAUAUGGCGGCAGCUCUGUGGAGCAGGUUAAUAUGGUGGCAGCUCUGUGGAGCAGGUUAAUAUGGCGGCAGCUCUGUGGAGCAGGUUAAUAUGGCGGCAGCUCUGUGGAGCAGGUUAAUAUGGUGGCAGCUCUGUGG